rnacentral:rRNA from 1 species
AACGAACGCUGGCGGCAUGCCUAACACAUGCAAGUCGAACGAUGCCUUCGGGCAUAGUGGCACACGGGUGCGUAACGCGUGGGAAUCUGCCCUUGGCUUCGGAAUAACAGUUAGAAAUGACUGCUAAUACCGGAUGAUGUCCCCCUGAGAGAUCUUGGGGACCAAAGAUUUAUCGGCCAGGGAUGAGCCCGCGUAGGAUUAGGUAGUUGGUGGGGUAAAGGCCUACCAAGCCGACGAUCCUUAGCUGGUCUGAGAGGAUGAUCAGCCACACUGGGACUGAGACACGGCCCAGACUCCUACGGGAGGCAGCAGUGGGGAAUAUUGGACAAUGGGGGGAACCCUGAUCCAGCAAUGCCGCGUGAGUGAUGAAGGCCUUAGGGUUGUAAAGCUCUUUUACCAGGGAUGAUAAUGACAGUACCUGGAGAAUAAGCUCCGGCUAACUCCGUG